GACGAACGCUGGCGGCGUGCUUAACACAUGCAAGUCGAACGGAAAGGCCCUGCUGUUGUGGGGUGCUCGAGUGGCGAACGGGUGAGUAACACGUGAGUAACCUGCCCUUGACUUUGGGAUAACUUCAGGAAACUGGGGCUAAUACCGGAUAGGAGCUCCUGCUGCAUGGUGGUGGUUGGAAAGUUUCGGCAGUGGGGGAUGGACUCGCUGCUUAUCAGCUUGUUGGUGGGGUAGUGGAUUACCAAGGUUUUGACGGGUAGCCGGCCUGAGAGGGUGACCGGCCACAUAGGCACUGGGGUGCGGCCAAGACUCCAACGGGAGGCAGCAGUGGAGGAUCUUGCACACUGGGCGGAAGCCUGAUGCAGCAACGCCGCGUGCGGGAUGACGGCCUUCGGGUUGUAAACCGCUUUCGCCUGUGACGAAGCGUGAGUGACGGUAAUGGGUAAAAAAGCACCGGCUAACUACGUG
rnacentral:rRNA from 1 species